AUCAAAUAAAGAUGCUUUCAACACGCUGUAUUAUUUCUUUUGACAUGAAAUACUCUGAUCCUUUUUAAAGAUGCUGUACUAUUGACUUUUGUACUAUUUCCUCCAUAAUAUCUGUAUUUAUUCUACAGCCCUGUUGCUGUGUCAAUAGCACAGAGGAAACAUUGGUGGUGCAGCAUGUUGAAGAAGGAAGUUUCAUGGCUCGGCUUGACCUCCUCACGCACAAACGCAUGAGGACCGUCACCGACUACUUCCUGGCUCCCUG
ensembl:lncRNA